CAGACUGUCCUACGGGCGGCUGCAGUGGGGAAUAUUGGGCAAUGGGCGCAAGCCUGACCCAGCAACGCCGCGUGAAGGAAGAAGGCUUUCGGGUUGUAAACUUCUUUUGACAGGGAAGAGUAGAAGACGGUACCUGUCGAAUAAGCCACGGCUAACUACGUGCCAGCAGCCGCGGUAAUACGUAGGUGGCAAGCGUUGUCCGGAUUUACUGGGUGUAAAGGGCGUGCAGCCGGAGAGACAAGUCAGAUGUGAAAUCCACGGGCUCAACCCGUGAACUGCAUUUGAAACUGUUUCCCUUGAGUGUCGGAGAGGUAAUCGGAAUUCCUUGUGUAGCGGUGAAAUGCGUAGAUAUAAGGAAGAACACCAGUGGCGAAGGCGGAUUACUGGACGAUAACUGACGGUGAGGCGCGAAAGCGUGGGGAGCAAACAGGAUUAGAUACCCUAGUAGUCC
rnacentral:rRNA from 1 species